rnacentral:rRNA from 1 species
GACGAACGCCGGCGGCGUGCUUAACACAUGCAAGUCGAACGGUGAAAGCGGAGCUUGCUCCGCUGGAUCAGUGGCGAACGGGUGAGUAACACGUGGGCAGCCUGCCCCUCACUUCGGGAUAACUCCGGGAAACCGGGGCUAAUACCGGAUAUGACCUCCUUGGGCAUCCUUGGAGGUGGAAAGUUUUUCGGUGAGGGAUGGGCCCGCGGCCUAUCAGCUUGUUGGUGAGGUAGUGGCUCACCAAGGCGACGACGGGUAGCCGGCCUGAGAGGGCGACCGGCCACACUGGGACUGAGACACGGCACAGACUCCUACGGGAGGCAGCAGUGGGGAAUAUUGCGCAAUGGGCGAAAGCCUGACGCAGCAACGCCGCGUGCGGGAUGACGGCCUUCGGGUUGUAAACCGCUUUCAGCAGGGAAGAAGCCGCAAGGUGACGGUACCUGCAGAAGAAGCACCGGCUAACUACGUGCCAGCCGCCGCGGUAA